GUGCCAGCAGCCGCGGUAAUACGGAGGGGGCUAGCGUUGUUCGGAAUUACUGGGCGUAAAGCGCACGUAGGCGGACUGGAAAGUUGGGGGUGAAAUCCCGGGGCUCAACCCCGGAACUGCCUUCAAAACUAUCAGUCUGGAGUUCGAGAGAGGUGCGUGGAAUUCCGCGUGUAGAGGUGAAAUUCGUAGAUAUUCGGAGGAACACCAGUGGCGAAGGCGGCUCACUGGCUCGAUACUGACGCUGAGGGGCGAAAGCGGGGGGAGCAAACAGGAUUAGAAACCCCUGUAGUCC
rnacentral:rRNA from 1 species